rnacentral:ncRNA from 1 species
AUCCUACUCCCCGAAUACACCAAAGGGCAUAAUUCCACUUAGCAAGUGGUGCCUGGGUUAUCUUGUUAAGACCUGCAAUUGUGGUAUAGGGAUACCUUUACUAUUGUUGUUCCAGAGUGGAGACCGGUGAAAUGGUUCAGGCUGAGAUAACUUGCGAGACGGUGCGAAAAACAAGGUGCUCUGCGAAUCGUCGCAACAAGUGUCAGUGAACGGGAUUCGUCCUAUAGCUGGCCGCAACAGUGAAUCUGAGGUGACACUUAGGGAACCAAAGUUGUGUGUCGAACAAUGCGAUUGUAGUUGAUGUUGCGGUAACGUAACUAUAAGAUUUUCGGAGGCACUCAGGCAAAAUCUACGUUGGAUAUAACGUUUACGUAUGGGUAAAAAAAUCUAUUAUGUGGUGCUUGUUUGAGUUGGGGUUGUUGAUACUUCCCACGCUUUAAAAAGGCUAGGUCAACCGGAGUUGCAAACCGGGGCCAUUCCUAGUCAGCGUGUAACCUUAACAGUUUGCAGCGCUAAGUCGAGUAGGAAAAACAUCCUGGUGUUUCACGGGUGGUAG